GAUGAACGCUGGCGGCAUGCCUAACACAUGCAAGUCGAUCGGUAAGGCUCUUCGGAGUACACGAGAGGCGGACGGCUGAGUAACGCGUAGGAACACACCCUGCAGUGAGGGAUAAGACACCGAAAGGUGUUCUAAUACCGCAUACGGUCUUCGGAUUAAAGCAUUUAUGCGCUGAAGGAGUGGCCUGCGUCAUAUUAGAUAGUUGGUGAGGUAAUGGCUCACCAAGUCGAUGAUGUGUAGCUGGUCUGAGAGGAUGAUCAGCCAGACUGGAACUGAGACACGGUCCAGACUCCUACGGGAGGCAGCAGUGAGGAAUAUUACACAAUGAGCGAAAGCUUGAUGGAGCAAUGCCGCGUGCAGGAUGAAGGCCCUCGGGUUGUAAACUGCUUUUAUAAGAGAAGAUUAUGACGGUAACUUAUGAAUAAGGGACGGCUAACUACGUG
rnacentral:rRNA from 1 species